UCAAGACAUCUGGGGCUCAUUAAGAUCCUUCUAGAAAGCAGUGGAGAUAGCUAGGUUGAUUGGGACACCUGAAGCCAAUCAAGGGCUGGCUGGAACUAGUUAAAAGCCCCCCAGUUGGUCAGUUAGGUGUGCAUGGCAAGAGCUGUAGGAGGAAGCCGUGCUGCUGGAGCCACUAGGCAGUAUGAACCCUAUCAGGCACAAGGAAGGAGGCCCUGAGUCAGGGGCUGAGGGGAUGAACAGCUCCACGUAUGGAUCAGGAGUGUCAACUGUAGAGUACCAAACAGAAGCUUUAAAGGAGAGGAUGUCAGAUAUACAAGAUAAGUGAAGACAGCAGAUCUGAUGCAUAGUAGGUAAUGGACUACAGACCUUCAACAAGAGAGGGAAUGGGGAAUGGCAUAAAGAAGGCCCUUGUCCCAUGGAAGAAGGAGACCGUCCCUAAUGAGUGCUGUCCGAGGCCAGCCCUGGAUCAAUAAUGUGGGUAUUUGCUCUUCAAAUAAGUAGCAAACAAGUUUAUUGUUGGUGUCCUCCACUGACAAAAUAUGCUGCAAAGUACUGUGGGGUUCACUUCCCACUCAUGGUCAUGUGAAAACUGCCUGUUGUGUUCGGUACUGAUAUUAGAACAUUGUGGCAAAUGCUUCAGUUCCAGAGCCUCCCUUUUGAUUUAUGUAGCACACAAUCUUCUCUGUCCACCCUGAGUUCAACAACGUUGAUGUGGAGAGUCACUAUUUUCCCUGAUUCAUGAGGUUGUUGAGGUGUGCAGUACAACCCAUGAGGGAUGUGUCUGUAGUGAGCAGAAAUGUCAAAGGAGGGCUGAGCGAACUGGACCCCUGUGCAAACAUUUACCGGGUCUUUGAUCCUGGAAGGCAUCAAGAGAGGGUUGUCUAACCUGUCUUUUUUUGGCCUAUAAACUGAGCUGAACCAUGUCUGCAGACACCUCAUCUCUAGUUUGGCAUGAAAUAUUACAAACAUACCAGCCACCAUGUGCCGCGGAAGCUGGAGGAACGUCUGGCCAAUGUUUAAGGGCUAGCUUGAACUGUCUAAGUGUGGACAGGCUGUGAAAUCUGUGUUGUGGAAGGAGCGCCCUCACUUGCAGUGAGUCGAGGUCGACCCCUAUGAACUCCAAACAUUGUACUGGAGCUAAGGUCGACUUUUGGACAU